AUUGAACGCUGGCGGCAGGCCUAACACAUGCAAGUCGAGCGGAUGAAGGGAGCUUGCUCCUGGAAUCAGCGGCGGACGGGUGAGUAAUGCCUAGGAAUCUGCCUGGUAGUGGGUGAUAACGUCCGGAAACGGGCGCUAAUACCGCAUACGUCCUGAGGGAGAAAGUGGGGGAUCUUCGGACCUCACGCUAUCAGAUGAGCCUAGGUCGGAUUAGCUAGUUGGUGGGGUAAAGGCCUACCAAGGCGACGAUCCGUAACUGGUCUGAGAGGAUGAUCAGUCACACUGGAACUGAGACACGGUCCAGACUCCUACGAGAGGCAGCAGUGGCGAAUAUUGGACAAUGGGCGAAAGCCUGAUCCAGCCAUGCCGCGUGUGUGAAGAAGGUCUUCGGAUUGUAAAGCACUUUAAGUUGGGAGGAAGAGCAGUAAGUUAAUACCAUACUGUUUUGACGUUACCAACAGAAUAAGCACCGGCUAACUUCGUG
rnacentral:rRNA from 1 species